GACGAAGGGGGCUAGCGUUGUUCGGAAUUACUGGGCGUAAAGCGCGUGUAGGCGGUUGUCCAAGUUGGAUGUGAAAGCCUUGAGCUCAACUCAAGAAAUGCAUUCAGGACUGGGCGACUAGAGGACCGGAGAGGAUAGUGGAAUUCCCAGUGUAGUGGUGGAAUACGUAGAGAUUGGGAAGAACACCAGUGGCGAAGGCGGCUAUCUGGACGGUUUCUGACGCUAAGACGCGAAAGCGUGGGGAGCAAACAGG
rnacentral:rRNA from 1 species